UGGCAGCAUCCUUCUUGCUGACUUGUGUAAACCAAACUGUUGCUGUGCAAGCGGAUGCUAAAUGGCGUGUUGUUUAAGGGGCACGAGUGUUAAGUAGGAAGGACGAACAACAGGUGAUGGAUGAUGGCCUCAGUACUUCACAGCUCUACGACAGAUGAUAUAAAGAGGAGGGGAUGUUUCCGAGUCGCAUGCCAAGCUGCCGACAGUCCAGCUUCCAAGAACAGCAACCGCAUCAACCCCAUCCCCCCAUCCUCAGCGUGAAGAUCACAGCAUCGCGCGGGUCUGAGGCUGAGCUGCGGCAACGUGCGGCAAGUGGCAGCUGUGCGCAGCGCGUCCCACUUUGAUAUCCACGGUGCACUCACCCAUCUUGACACAGAAUCUCACCGCCACCAACUUCUCGUCUGCUCUCGCCCGUGCUUCGGGGCCGCCAGCCGCCAAAACCACCGCCGCCGCCCCACUUCAGUGUUGCAACACCAUCAUCGUUACUACCACCAACCGCAGCAGCAGCAGCAGCACAUAGUAGCAGCAGUAACCGUCUAGAAGCAAACUUUCCUGCAACUGGAGCAGGAGAGGAUUACUUCAACAAGUCGUCGCGGCUAUCGCCGUUGUUGUUGUUGUUGUCAUUUUCACUUGCCGUCGUCGUGGUGGUGAUGGUGGUGGGCUCGAAUCUGGAGAGGGGGACAGGGGACCGAGAAAACGCUGUCAGCAAGCCUCGUCAUACUUCGACAUAGUCUCAUCCCCCGACGAAACACUACUUUCCCCACCCCAACGUGCAAGCCCCACGUAUUGUUUUCCUCCUGCAGGAUUGUCGUGUCAUCGUCCUCCUCGUCAUUCAUCAUUGCCGUGACGAGCUCUCCUCCCAACACUCUUCCUCUCCCUCCUCACUCUGCAGUGACCCUCUGACCUUUGCUCCACUGUGUGAUUUCCUCUGAUCAUCACCAGUCACCAGGACUCUUUGCGUUCCCUUGCAGCAGAACUGGGAAUCACCGUCGUCGUAUUCGUCGUCGUCGUCGAAGAUGAGCCUGUCGACGUCCAUAGCGUCAUCGCGGGGUGGGAGGAAGCCUGGAGGCAGCAACAUCUGCUCCAACAGCAACGUCUGGCGGGGAAGUAGCAACAAGAAAAAGUCCUCCAACUCCGAGGAGGAGAUCGCGCAUCGACAACAACGUAGGCAAGCCAACAAGACCCCUUGCUGUGUUAUCUCCCUGACUACCAGUGCGUCACUUCCGGUUUCGGCCACCAUACUGAUCUUGUCAGCCACCAUUUUCUGCUUGGGCUUCAUUCAUCAAAUGGUCACGACCUGAGAGCAAUUGGCUCCCCAUAGCUUGAGUUAUGGGGCUUUAACACAGUCCUUGCAGGCUAGUGAACGCAGAAAGUCUUUACUUGAAACGAAGGACACAAAUUUUAUCCCCCUUUUGUUCAAAUCCGUUCCUUUGAGUUCGAGGUCGAAAGACUGGGCCAUGAUUUUUCAGCAAGCAGCUGAUAGGAGCUGCAGGCACUGCCAUUUUUGUUAACAGAAGAAGCAGCUGGAUUGUUUACAAGGCCAUUGAGCGACUUUGACCAGGAAGCCUCAUUUGACGAUGUCCACUAUGGUUUCAUUUGAAACUUGGGAUAAAACUGUGCCGAACUGGUUUUGGGGAAACGGAUCCUUCUUCGCUGUUUUGUUUUAGCAGCCAAGAUUUUUCCCAGUGAUUUUUUUUUCUCUUGAUGCUACUGUUCUAUCAGCUGCCUUUCACACACGGGUUUAACUUUUCCUAAAUUUGCGAAAAACGUUUCAAUGUUCGGCAUCAGCAUUUUAAAUGCGUUUUGAUUCCAUCAUUUCGUUGUGUGAAAAGCAAAAACAGUUUAUCCAAUGAGCGCGUGACGUGGAAGAGGUCAGCGAAGGGAGAAGAGGAGAUAAUGGGGGAUCCGCGGCCUGCCUCCACAAGAGGUGAUUGAACUGUUGAAUAUUUUACAAAGCAGCUGUGUAAUGGAUUCUGCUGCAAAUCAUGCCCUCUUUAUUUCCCUUCCAUGGACUUUUUUCCCCCUGGGCUGUACUAAAAAGCUUUCGCAACUCUUUUGUCAAACAUAGAAGUGUCCACAAAUGUCAGAGCUUAAAAAGGGGCUGUACGGGCACAUUUAUGUCCGGACAAAGAUGCGAACGCUUGCCCAGCCCAGAAAUGAGUCUGCCAAGCAAGCAUCUUGGUGCUGUUUCUUGGGAGAUCAUCAACGUGUCGGUGGUCUUUCUAGAUUUUUGUUGGUGACAAUUUUUAUUUGAUAGAUGGCGUCAAAGCACAAACAGCUUUGUGAUAACUUGAGAGAUUUUUCUGCUGUCAGUAAUAAUAAAGCUGAUUUUGAUAUUGUUUUUUUCUACUUUACCGUAAUCACAAAGCGAGUUACAAAAACAAAGCAAAGUAAACAUUCAUAAAAAUACAAGUAUAAUAUAAAUGAACAUAAAAUACAUACAUCGACCAAACUAUUAAUAAAUAAUCAAGGACAGAACAACACAAUAUGAAAGUAAAUGUAGAAUUUUUACUCAGAGUAAUUUGAUACAAACACAUCUUGCACGCUUGCAUUCGUUUUAAUCUUCUGAGUAGUCAGUCUUAACUAAUUGCACUAGUAUUUUGCAAUGUAUAUUUAAUUUAAUUAUUUUGGUCCUAAUUAGAAAUUUUCUUUUCCUGGCUUUUAUUUUCUGCAUGUUGGACAGCAACGUCUGUCAGAACAGAAAAAAAGAUGAAAUCCAAACACUACUUCUAGUAGGUUUUGUACUUUUAAGAUUGUUUGUCUGUUUGCGUGUUUGCUGUAUCCAUAAAUUUCUAUUUUUAAAAAUCUUUUCUACGAUGUAAUUUUACCCUUUGAGACGUUUGCUGUAAACCAUGUAUAUUUUGUUUUUAUACACAAAUGACAAUAAAUGUUCACCUAACACAGGGUGCAUGUUAUGAACCACGGGCAUAACGUUUCCUAUGCGGGGGCAAAGUUCCUUACACGAAGAGGUCUACGACCAGUAUGAAUGGACAUGUUUGGGAACGAGGUCACUAUUGUGUCACAGAGAUCAAAUGACCCUGUAAAUUUUAGCUCUGACUAGAGCACAGUUUUAACAUGUCUGCUACAACUCAAUUUUUAUUUUCAAACAACUAGGACAGUGUCAAUACAAGAGACUUCAUUUUGUAUUCUUCCUCCGCCACGCUGCUGAAGCCAGAGAUGUGACAAGGCCAUCUAGUUCCCUAAUUCAAAAGGAGACAAAGAGCGUUGGAGGGCUAUGUCAUGAAAGUAUAGCCUAGUGACCGAAAAUAAGAUCUCCAAAAUGUGAGUCAAUAAAUUUCCUUCGAUGAUAGAAGUGUGCAGACACCAACACGCACACUCAUAGGUCUCUCGUUUGCUAUAUAGCAAUGGCGACUUAUGUCCGUGCAUUUUCUUGAGGUCACACUUUAACCUUUUAAUGUGUACGGUGAUAGUUGUAGAAAAAUGUGAUCCUUACCUGGCUUAAACUGACCUCGAGCCAUUCGUUUUCGAAAAAAAAAUCAACAUUUGGUAGACCUUCAAGCAGCGAUUAAUUUUGAAGGCAGUAAACUCACAAAAUGUUCAAGAAAAUAGAAGUGGACAGUUGAGAGUAGAUCAAACGGAUGUGUGGAUUGUGACCGUUUCCUGCUUCAACUUUCUUAAUUGUUUGGGAACCUUGUUUCAAACUGAGCACUUUCUAACGGAUUAUUAUUAUUAUUAUUAUUAUUAUUAUUAUUAUUAUUAUUGCUGUGCCUUUAUUUCAAUUUUAUGUAUACUUUUACUUCUCCCUUGCACUUUCGAUGACUUACUUAUGAUAGGUGUAACUUCCAUGGUAUUUUUUUUUUUUUGGUUGGCCCUUGCUCAAGGACGUUAAAUGUGAUUUAAACUUCUUGUCACAUUCACUUAUUGGUGUGAAGAAAAGUGAUAUGUGUGUAUCUGGGCCGGCUUGAAAUAUAUUUAGCACAGAUAAUAAUUGAUAUCAGAGCCAACCACAUUGCCAAUCAUAGCAAAGGUCAUGUGCUAAUGAUAUAGCGAGUCUUAUCUGGUAUCGGAUAAUAAUUCGGUGACUUUAUCAGGAUGUGUUAUAUGCACAAAAUUAAUACAUUACAGAGCUAGAAUGAUCAAAGGCGUCUCUGAUUAGCAGUGAAUACUAGAGAAAUGCUUUGGUACAGAGAAUUUGUGCUGUGGAGAUAGGGAUUGUCGAUGUUUCUGCAGUUUGCGGCAGAGACAUGUUUUUUUGUGUGACCAAAACCUGAGGUCGUACUUUCUUUGUAUGUUCAAAUGAACAAGUUUUGUAUCAUCUGACAUCAGUCCUUAACUGGUUUUUAUCUUUGAAAGCUAUACGUGAUUUUUACAGACUGCAAAUUUCUCCUUUAUCCAUCGAACAGAUUUACUCAAGAGCUGUAAGAUCCCCGAUCGUCUCAAACCACAAUCCUUCCCCCCACUGUGCAAAAGCAUCUUUCUUUUAAAAAUUGUUCUUAGUCUUAACCUUCGAAAAAGAAACCCCAUGUAAUUCCACAAAGAAAGUAUUUUCCCAACGAGCUGUUAGUGGGUUUGUGUCAAACGAUCUUCAGAUAUUAUUUUAAUGCCACCUUUGCAUCUUUUGUAAUAUUUUAACAUAUUUUGAAAUGUGUAUAUAGCAGUGAGCUGUGUACAAGCUGAGUCACCGCGCUGACGUUUUCCACAACCAAAGUUUUUGUAUACAAUGCCAACUGGUCAGAGAACUCUGGAGUUCCUAAGUGAGGAAUGUCCAUACUUGUUGACCAUUUGUUAUUCUCCAUCUCCCGGGCACGUCCAUGAGGACUUCUUGUAUUCCUGUCGGAGUCUGACAGAAAGUACAACAUAUUAAAAGAACAGCUGCAUUGCUGCUAUUUCACGUUUCUCUCGUUUUAUAUCAUUUUCCAAUACAUGUAAAAUAUUCUGCAUGAGAAGUAUUUUGUAGCAUUCUAGAGUUUCUGUUUUCAUCUUAUUUUGUGGCCUAUACAGACCAGCGCUGAGAUGGGGUGGGUCCAUGCGUAAGUAGUUUCUCACCCACCAUCUGCAUUCUUCUUUGUCUUUGAACAAUAAGAGAUACACUACACUUACAUGUACAAUAUAUGCAACUGAAAGUGCCAGGGGUUCAUAAAUCGGCACUGUAAACGUAUUUUAUUUUCUUUCUCACUCACACACACACACAUGUGUGAAGUCCGAAGAAUGACGCAGUUUAACGUUAGUUCUCAUCAAUAAAAGUUUGUGUUAAAUUUUUGUGACAUUCAUCAUUAGAAAAGCAGAUAGCUGCGCUCCUCUGAAGACAGACGGUAUUGUCCGUACCUUGGUCCAAGCAAAUCAUCCAAGCACUUUUGUCAUCAGUGUUUAGACAAAACAUCGUACGACUAAAGCCCUUAUCUCAGCGCCUCUGUCUUCUGACUUCUCAAGCACUAUUUGAAUGCAAACUUGUUUUCUAAUAAUCGGGUAAAACUCAUUGCAAGGUAUUAUUUUCCAAAAUAUGAGAGGACACUCCUUCUUCCAUUCUCCAAAAUACGCCUAAACAUCAUCUUGCCCUUCUGUAUCCCCACGAACUAAUAUUCCCCAUGGUAUCCCGGGACAAAAUCUUGACUUCAUGAUAUGCCUGACUAUUCUAGGCCUUCUUAACGUAGACAUAUCCAUGCACUUUCCUGACUUCUUGAAAUUGUAUCUUACACCUAGCUUUACUCAGUUUCUUUAAAAAAUGUUGACCCAGCAAGUCUUUAAGACAUCAGUUCUGCUGGCUGAUGAUCUUGUCUGAAAACGCCGAGCUUUGUGCAAGUUAUUAUUACACCAGAAAAAAAUAGAUAGCUUUCUAAUUUCCCAAGAGUGAUUAUUUAUUUCAUUAACUGUCUGUGAUUUUAACUUUUAAAUUACGAAAUCGCCAACAAAUUAAGUGGAAAACAAAAGUUGUUAAAAAUAUAAAUAUGAUCUUUGUGACAAAGCACUUUAUAUAAAAAUAUUAUAACGUCUUAUUCCUAAUAUUCUCUUUUUCUUCCUUCAAAAAUUUCUUUUACUUGCGAUGUGUCUUUCUUCUUUAUCUCGCUCUCUGUGUCAUUCACAUCUUCCCUUCCUUAGUUUCUUAUCUACAGGUUAUUUUUCAAAGAAGUAAAAAAAGGUCAAUAUUUCAUCAGUCAAAUGCAUAAUAGAAAAUGUCAGCAAUUAUCUGUUAGCUCGAUAAUAUCUGUGUGUGUGUGAGUGAGAGAGAGAGAGAGAGAGAGAGAGAGAGUAAAUGAGCUUAUGCGCGUUUAAAGGCAUGUGACAGGGAGGAUGUGGCGAUAUAUAUAUUAUUUUUAUGCUUCAUCAGCUGUUUGUACGGUUUGGUAUAUGAGUUUGAUAGAUGCGUGCAUAUAAUGUGUAUAAUGAGAUUUCUGCAUAAUCAUCAUCAAUCAUCAAUCAUCAUCCAUCAAUCAAUCAUCAUCAUCCAUCAUCAUCAUGCAUCAACUUUGUCUGAAGUUUUCAGUUUUCAUGCACCGACCAGGUUAACUCAGCAUGCUGCCAUAAAGCCUCGCACAAUACAGGCAGCCAUUCAGUUAGUCUUACAGUACUCGAACAAAAAAUAAGUUUUUGCUGUUAUCUUUGAUGCUGAUGAAUGGCUAGAUUACUAUAUAGUUGGUGCUCACUACUCACAUUCAUUUUUUAUGACGAUUAACAUUUUGAAGAAAGAGAUCGGGCCUUCCGUUUGUCUGAAAUCAAGUGAUCAAACUAAGACAACCCUUUACAGAUAUAUUCUAGUUAAGGAUGUAAUGGAUUUACAUACAGUUCUUUGGUUGUUGGUCUGUCGGUAAACGGUUUAUCUUUAGCCUGGCAAUAAUUUUCCUACAAAUCUCUCCUAAUAAUCGAUUGAAUUGCCAAUGUAUAAGUCACUUAAACUAAGAAAACAGGGUUGCUAAAAUAAAAUUAACUUCCAUUGAACCAAGUAUUCAGCACGAAUAAUAAUAAAUCUGCAUGUGCCAUAAUCUCAUUGCAUGAGCAAGUGAAUAACUGCGUUGUUUUUGCUAGUAUUUCAUCCCUCGAUCAGCCGCUCUUCUUGCGAGCCCAUUUGACUAGCUACUUUGAAAAUAAAUAAAUAAAUAAGCAAAAGGUAUUGAAUUCUCAAGUAAGCAUGUGCACUUCAACAUUCGCACUUGUGUGUUAUAAAAAUCAGACAUUUUAGACUGCUCAUUUAAACUGUCAACUGGGAUAUGAUGUUUUUGACAUUGGAUGCUUUAUAUUAUGUUGUCCUUUUCGAUGAUUUGAAAUAAAGUGACACAUUAAUUA